UACAGAGGUGGCAAGCGUUGUUCGGAAUUACUGGGCGUAAAGGGCGAGUAGGUGGCCAUCUAAGUCAGACGUGAAAUCCCUCGGCUCAACCGGGGAACUGCGUCUGAUACUGGGUGGCUUGAAUUCGGGAGAGGGAUGCAGAAUUCCAGGUGUAGCGGUGAAAUGCGUAGAUAUCUGGAGGAAUACCGGUGGCGAAGGCGGCAUCCUGGACCGACAUUGACGCUGAGGAGCGAAAGCUAGGGGAGCAAACGGG
rnacentral:rRNA from 1 species